GAUGAACGCUAGCGGCAGGCUUAACACAUGCAAGUCGAGGGGCAACACGGGUAGCAAUACCUGGUGGCGACCGGCGCAAGGGUGCGUAACGCGUGAGCAACAUGCCCUAUACAGGGGGAUAAUCCAGGGAAACUUGGUCUAAUAUCCCAUAGUAUUUAGAGGUGGCAUCACCACUAAAUUAAAGCUUCGGUGGUAUAGGAUUGGCUCGCGUGACAUUAGCUGGAUGGUGGGGUAACGGCUCACCAUGGCGAUGAUGUCUAGGGGUUCUGAGAGGAAGACCCCCCACACUGGGACUGAGACACGGCCCAGACUCCUACGGGAGGCAGCAGUGAGGAAUAUUGGUCAAUGGGCGCAAGCCUGAACCAGCCAUGCCGCGUGCAGGAAGACGGUCCUAUGGAUUGUAAACUGCUUUUAUACAGGAAGAAACCUCCCUACGUGUAGGGACUUGACGGUACUGUAGGAAUAAGGAUCGGCUAACUCCGUG
rnacentral:rRNA from 1 species